rnacentral:misc_RNA from 1 species
AAAAAAAAAAAAAAAAAGUAAAUUGAAUCUACCUGCUGAAAUAGUUCCGGACGUGAGAAUUGAGCCAAAUAAAUUGAAUUGAGCUGUUUUCUGCAAUAUUAACUAGUUAUUGUUUUAAAUUUGGACUAUUUUCCUUAUAGAGACACUGAUAUUAAUUAACAUUGAAGCAUCGUAUUUUGCAUUUGGUGGAAAAAAUAAAUUAGAUG